UACGUAGGGGGCAAGCGUUGUCCGGAAUCAUUGGGCGUAAAGCGCGUGUAGGCGGUCCGAUAAGUUCGCUGUGAAAGUCGGGGGCUUAACCCUCGGAUGCCGGUGAAUACUGUCGGGCUUGAGUACGGAAGAGGCGAGUGGAAUUCCUGGUGUAGCGGUGAAAUGCGCAGAUAUCAGGAGGAACACCAAUUGCGAAGGCAGCUCGCUGGGACGUUACUGACGCUGAGACGCGAAAGCGUGGGGAGCGAACGGG
rnacentral:rRNA from 1 species